rnacentral:rRNA from 1 species
AGAGUUUGAUCCUGGCUCAGGAUGAACGCUAGCGGGAGGCUUAACACAUGCAAGUCGAGGGGCAGCAUAGGGUAGCAAUACUCUGAUGGCGACCGGCAAACGGGUGAGUAACGCGUAUGCAACCUACCCUGUACAGGGGGAUAACCCGGAGAAAUUCGGACUAAUAUCCCGUAAUAAUAUCCGGAGGCAUCUUUGGAUAUUUAAAGUUCCGACGGUACGGGAUGGGCAUGCGUAACAUUAGCUGGUUGGUAAGGUAACGGCUUACCAAGGCUAUGAUGUUUAGGGGUCCUGAGAGGGUGGUCCCCCACACUGGUACUGAGACACGGACCAGACUCCUACGGGAGGCAGCAGUGAGGAAUAUUGGUCAAUGGGCGCAAGCCUGAACCAGCCAUCCCGCGUGCAGGAAGACGGCCCUAUGGGUUGUAAACUGCUUUUCCAGGGAGAGAAACUUACGCACGUGUUGCGUGACUGACGGUACCCUGGGAAUAAGCAUCGGCUAACUCCGUGCCAGCAGCCGCGGUAAUACGGAGGAUGCAAGCGUUAUCCGGAUUCAUUGGGUUUAAAGGGUGCGUAGGCGGGCUAUUAAGUCAGUGGUGAAAUCCUGCAGCUUAACUGCAGAACUGCCGUUGAUACUGAUAGUCUUGAGUUUGGUUAAGGUAGGCGGAAUGUGUAAUGUAGCGGUGAAAUGCUUAGAUAUUACACAGAACACCAAUUGCGUAGGCAGCUUACUGAGCCGACACUGACGCUGAGGCACGAAAGCGUGGGGAUCAAACAGGAUUAGAUACCCUGGUAGUCCACGCCGUAAACGAUGAUUACUCGCUGUUGGCGAUACACUGUCAGCGGCUAAGCAAAAGCAAUAAGUAAUCCACCUGGGGAGUACGGCCGCAAGGUUGAAACUCAAAGGAAUUGACGGGGGCCCGCACAAGCGGAGGAACAU